rnacentral:misc_RNA from 1 species
AGCAACAAAGCCUCAACUAAAAGUACAAAAAGUUAUCACUUGUGUUACUGAUUUUGCUAUUCCUGAUAAGAUAUUAAAGAUGGCAUUAUUUUAUUGGAUAGUGAUUUUAGUUGCUUCAAAUUAGAUGUAUGGAAGUUAUAAUGCUGAUGUAGAUGUAGACUACAUAUAAAAUUCUGGUACCACUAAAUGGGUUUUUUUGGAAACAAAUGCAUCAUGAACACUAUUAAAGGUAAACUGACUAGAAAUUUGUAGGCUAUGUUGUUUUAUUUGUUAUAAAAGUAACUAAAAACAAUUAUUUCCUAGAGGUUUAU